GCUACGGGAGGCAGCAGUGAGGAAUAUUGGUCAAUGGACGAGAGUCUGAACCAGCCAAGUAGCGUGAAGGAUGACUGCCCUAUGGGUUGUAAACUUCUUUUAUAUGGGAAUAAAAUGUUCCACGUGUGGGAUUUUGUAUGUACCAUAUGAAUAAUGAUCGGCUAACUCCGUGCCAGCAGCCGCGGUAAUAGGGAGGAUCCGUGCGUUAUCCGGCUUUAUUGGGUUUAAAGGGAGCGUAGGUGGAAUUGUAAGUCAGUUGGGAAAGUUUGCGGCUCAACCGUAAAAUUGCAGUUGAAACUGGCAGUCUUGAGUACAGGAGAGGUGGGCGGAAUUCGUGGUGUAGCGGUGAAAUGCUUAGAUAUCACGAAGAACACGGAUUGCGAAGGCAGGUCACUGGACUGCAACUGACACUGAGGCUCGAAAGUGUGGGUAUCAAACAGGAUUAGAUACCCGGGUAGUC
rnacentral:rRNA from 1 species